rnacentral:rRNA from 1 species
GAUGAACGCUGGCGGCGUGCUUAACACAUGCAAGUCGAACGAAGCAGAUUGAGAUCUUCGGAAGGAUAUCUGACUGAGUGGCGGACGGGUGAGUAACGCGUGGGUAACCUGCCUCAUACAGGGGGAUAACAGUUAGAAAUGACUGCUAAUACCGCAUAAGCGCACAGUACCGCAUGGUACGGUGUGAAAAACUCCGGUGGUAUGAGAUGGACCCGCGUCUGAUUAGCUAGUUGGUGGGGUAACGGCCUACCAAGGCGACGAUCAGUAGCCGACCUGAGAGGGUGACCGGCCACAUUGGGACUGAGACACGGCCCAAGCUCCUACGGGAGGCAGCAGUGGGGAAUAUUGCACAAUGGGCGAAAGCCUGAUGCAGCGACGCCGCGUGAGUGAAGAAGUAUUUCGGUAUGUAAAGCUCUAUCAGCAGGGAAGAAAAUGACGGUACCUGACUAAGAAGCACCGGCUAAAUACGUGCCAGCCGCCGCAGUAAAAC